GGCGGCAUCAACCUCAUCAACGGCAGCCGUUGAUUUCAUUCCGAUGGCACCGGGUUGCCGUGGAUCCAUCGCCGAGUGCUUGAUGAGCGGAGACGAAGAUUUCGAGAUGGAGCUGGCCAUGGACAGUGAGAUCAACCGGCGUAUCUUAGCAAUUAACAAGUAUAUAAGCUACGGUGCGCUGAGGAGGAACACUGUGCCUUGUUCGAGACGCGGCGCCUCGUAUUACAACUGCCGACCAGGAGCUCAGGCCAACCCCUACACUCGUGGGUGCAAUCGUAUCACGCGCUGCAGGAAUUAAAUUUUUUUUUAAUUUUUUAUUUGGGGUGUUUAUAAUUAUAAUUAAUUAUGUGAUUGUUAUGUGUU
rnacentral:misc_RNA from 1 species